AGAGUUUGAUCAUGGCUCAGGAUGAACGCUAGCGGUGCGCCUAAUACAUGCAAGUCGAACGGGAUAGCAAUAUCCAGUGGCAGACGGCUGAGUAACACGUUGGUACAUACCCCUAACUCAGGGAUAAUUCCUCGAAAGAGGGACUAAUACCGGAUAAUCCCGCAAGGGUAAAGAUUUUUCGGUCAGGGAGUGGCCUGCGGCCUAUCAGUUAGUUGGUGAGGUAAAAGCUUACCAAGACGAUGACGGGUAGCUGGUGUGAGAGCAUGACCAGCCAGAAUGGAACUGAGACACGGUCCAUACUCCUACGGGAGGCAGCAGUAGGGAAUCUUCCGCAAUGGGCGAAAGCCUGACGGAGCGACACCGCGUGAGGGAUGACACCCCUAGGGGCGUAAACCUCUUUUCUGAGGGAAUAAAAUUGUUGAAGGUACCUCAGAAUAGC
rnacentral:rRNA from 1 species